rnacentral:rRNA from 1 species
UAUUGGACAAUGGGCGAAAGCCUGAUCCAGCAAUACCGCGUGUGUGAAGAAGGCCUUAGGGUUGUAAAGCACUUUCAAUUGGGAGGAAAACCUACCGGUCAAUACCCGGUAGCUUGACAUUACCUUUAGAAGAAGCACCGGCUAACUCCGUGCCAGCAGCCGCGGUAAUACGGAGGGUGCGAGCGUUAAUCGGAAUUACUGGGCGUAAAGCGUGCGUAGGCGGUUCGUUAAGUCAGAUGUGAAAGCCCUGGGCUCAACCUGGGAACGGCAUUUGAAACUGGCGGACUAGAGUUUAGUAGAGGGGAGUGGAAUUUCAGGUGUAGCGGUGAAAUGCGUAGAUAUCUGAAGGAACACCAGUGGCGAAGGCGACUCCCUGGACUAGAACUGACGCUGAGACGAAA